rnacentral:miRNA from 1 species
AUUUUCUUUUUCAAUUCUAA